AUUGAACGCUGGCGGCAGGCCUAACACAUGCAAGUCGAGCGGAUGAAGGGAGCUUGCUCCUGGAUUCAGCGGCGGACGGGUGAGUAAUGCCUAGGAAUCUGCCUGGUAGUGGGGGAUAACGUCCGGAAACGGGCGCUAAUACCGCAUACGUCCUGAGGGAGAAAGUGGGGGAUCUUCGGACCUCACGCUAUCAGAUGAGCCUAGGUCGGAUUAGCUAGUUGGUGGGGUAAAGGCCUACCAAGGCGACGAUCCGUAACUGGUCUGAGAGGAUGAUCAGUCACACUGGAACGGAGACGCGGUCCAGACUCCUACGGGAGGCAGCAGUGGGGAAUAUUGGACAAUGGGCGAAAGCCUGAUCCAGCCAUGCCGCGUGUGUGAAGAAGGUCUUCGGAUUGUAAAGCACUUUAAGUUGGGAGGAAGGGCAGUAGGUUAAUACCUUGCUGUUUUGACGUUACCAACAGAAUAAGCACCGGCUAACUUCGUG
rnacentral:rRNA from 1 species